rnacentral:rRNA from 1 species
UACGUAGGUGACCAGCGUUGUCCGGAUUUACUGGGCGUAAAGAGCGCGCAGGCGGUCGUUCAAGUCGAGUGUGAAAGCCCCCGGCUCAACUGGGGAGGGUCAUUCGAUACUGAUCGACUUGAAGGCAGGAGAGGGAAGUGGAAUUCCCGGUGUAGUGGUGAAAUGCGUAGAUAUCGGGAGGAACACCAGUGGCGAAGGCGACUUCCUGGCCUGUUCUUGACGCUGAGGCGCGAAGGCGUGGGGAGCGAACGGG